AAGAAGAAGGCGCGAGAGGCUCUAAAACAGCUUGACAACCAGCUUCAAAGCCUCAUCACCAGAACUCCACCACCAAACGUAGGGAGGGUAUCUUCUUCUCGGCUGAGUAACUUGGAUUCCAAGGCCGACAUAGCUAGAGAUAUGAUGAGGGAACCACCACCAGAGUAUUCUGAUUCCUUUUUUGCGUACUCCGCGUUUGCUCUCCUAAUUAUCUCAGUUUUGUACAAUAUAUUGUUCCUUACAGUGAUUAAACCAUCUGUCGAUGGUCCAGCACCAGCUGCAUAUACUUAUAGUAACACUAAUAAUCAAGCUGUAAAAGAAGCUCCAAGUGAGAACGGAGCAGAUUCACCACCAGUUGCUAACCCGGAGUGAGAUGAUAAUUUCACCCCCAUUGUUAAUUGAUAUAAGGCCACGGAUUGCUACGUCGUUGUCAUUUCGUUCUUGCUUAUCCCCGACACCGAGUACCCGAUUUGACUGAAACUAGACUCUCCAUGUACGGCACCAUCUGGACCAUGCACUUCUUGUACCUGUACUUUCUUAUGUUCCGAUGUCUUUCCUUUUCUUCCAAGCAUCUCUUCUUACAUUCAUAACAAUAAGAUGGAUGCAUAUCACCAUCUAAUCGAACAUGUAAUAGGGUUUCACGAUUCUGUAAAGACACCGCGCUUCUUAAGUAGCGAUAGGAUGGAAUAUCCAGUUUCGUCA